GAUGAACGCUGACAGCAUGCUUAACACAUGCAAGUCAACUUGAACUUCGGUUUGGGUGGCGGACGGGUGAGUAACGCGUAAAGAACUUGCCUCACAGUUAGGGACAACAUUUGGAAACGAAUGCUAAUACCUGAUAUUAUGAUUUUAGGGCAUCCUAGAAUUGUGAAAGCUAUAUGCGCUGUGAGAGAGCUUUGCGUCCCAUUAGCUAGUUGGAGAGGUAACGGCUCACCAAGGCGAUGAUGGGUAGCCGGCCUGAGAGGGUGAACGGCCACAAGGGGACUGAGACACGGCCCUUACUCCUACGGGAGGCAGCAGUGGGGAAUAUUGGACAAUGGACCAAGAGUCUGAUCCAGAAAUUCUGUGUGCACGAUGAAGUUUUUCGGAAUGUAAAGUGCUUUCAGUUGGGAAGAAAAAAAUGACGAUACCAACAGAAGAAGUGACGGCUAAAUACGUG
rnacentral:rRNA from 1 species